UACGGAGGGGGCUAGCGUUGUUCGGAAUUACUGGGCGUAAAGCGCACGUAGGCGGCUUUGCAAGUUAGAGGUGAAAGCCCGGGGCUCAACCCCGGAAUUGCCUUUAAAACUGCAUCGCUAGAAUUGUGGAGAGGUAAGUGGAAUUCCGAGUGUAGAGGUGAAAUUCGUAGAUAUUCGGAAGAACACCAGUGGCGAAGGCGGCUCACUGGACUGGUAUUGACGCUGAAGUGCGAAAGCGUGGGGAGCAAACAGGG
rnacentral:rRNA from 1 species